AGGUGUACGUUACAGAGAUAUACAACAGCCUUCAGUUUCAUCAGAUCUCAGUGGACAAAACAUCUGUAAAACUAAAAACCACUAUGAAGUUUCCACCCUCACUGGUAAUCAACAUAAAAGUACCUGGAUAUAGAACAA